rnacentral:misc_RNA from 1 species
CCGAAAAGGAUGCUGCUUAUAAAGAACUGGUAAAUAUGCAAGAAAACAAACUUAUAACAUCCAGGAAAUUAAGAUUGAAGACGAUAUUACUACUUUGAUACAACUCUGGUACCGCUCUUUCCAAAAAUAGACUGCCAACCUGUGGAGAAUAUAGAAAAAAGAACCUACGAGAGAAGUAUAUGCCCUAUACCCGCCUCCUCGACACCCUACCCUU